rnacentral:rRNA from 1 species
GACGAACGCUGGCGGCGUGCUUAACACAUGCAAGUCGAACGAAGAGCGAUGGAAGCUUGCUUCUAUCACUCUUAGUGGCGAACGGGUGAGUAACGCGUAAUCAACCUGCCCUUCAGAGGGGGACAACAGUUGGAAACGACUGCUAAUACCGCAUACGAUCUAAUCUCGGCAUCGAGGAUAGAUGAAAGGUGGCCUCUACAUGUAAGCUAUCACUGAAGGAGGGGAUUGCGUCUGAUUAGCUAGUUGGAGGGGUAACGGCCCACCAAGGCGAUGAUCAGUAGCCGGUCUGAGAGGAUGAACGGCCACAUUGGGACUGAGACACGGCCCAGACGCCUACGGGAGGCAGCAGUGGGGAAUCUUCCGCAAUGGACGAAAGUCUGACGGAGCAACGCCGCGUGAGUGAUGACGGCCUUCGGGUUGUAAAGCUCUGUUAAUCGGGACGAAAGGCCUUCUUGCGAAUAGUGAGAAGGAUUGACGGUACCGGAAUAGAAAGCCACGGCUAACUACGUG